UACGAGAGGUGCAAGUGUUGUUCCUAAUAACUGGGCGUUAAGGGUAUGUAGAUGGUAAUUUAAGUUUGAAUAGUUUAUUAGUUAUUAAUAUUUUCAAAUACUAUUUUACUUGAAUAAUAUAUAAAAUAUAAGAACCGUUAGUUUAAGGUUUAAAUCUGUAUAGAUAAGCGGGAAUGUCCAUAGCGAAGGCAUAUAUUUAUAUAUUAUUGACAUUAAUAUACGAAAGCAUGGGGAUCAAACGGG
rnacentral:rRNA from 1 species